UACGUAGGUGGCAAGCGUUGUCCGGAUUUACUGGGCGUAAAGGGCGUGCAGGCGGUCUGUUAAGUUCAGGGUGAAAGCUCCCGGCUCAACUGGGAGAGGUCCUUGGAUACUGGCAGACUUGAGGGAGGUAGAGGAGAGUGGAAUUCCCGGUGUAGUGGUGAUAUGCGUAGAUAUCGGGAGGAACACCAGUGGCGAAAGCGGCUCACUGGACCACAACUGACGCUGAGGCGCGAAAGCUAGGGGAGCAAACAGG
rnacentral:rRNA from 1 species